AUUGAAAGCUGAGAAGAUGAACGUGCCCGAUCUCAUCUGAUCUCGGAAGCUAAGAAGGGUCGGGUCUGGUAAGUACUUGGAUGGGAGACCGCCUAGGAAUACCAGGUGCUGUAGUUG
rnacentral:rRNA from 1 species